rnacentral:rRNA from 1 species
CGGGUUGUAAAGCUCUUUUGGCAGGGAAGAAACGGUUGUGGUGAAUAGCCGCGACUACUGACGGUACCUGCAGAAUAAGCACCGGCUAACUACGUGC